UACGUAGGGUGCAAGCGUUAAUCGGAAUUACUGGGCGUAAAGCGUGCGCAGGCGGUUUUGUAAGUCUGAUGUGAAAUCUCCGGGCUCAACCUGGGAAUUGCAUUGGAGACUGCAAGGCUAGAAUCUGGCAGAGGGGGGUAGAAUUCCACGUGUAGCAGUGAAAUGCGUAGAGAUGUGGAGGAACACCGAUGGCGAAGGCAGCCCCCUGGGUCAAGAUUGACGCUCAUGCACGAAAGCGUGGGGAGCAAACAGG
rnacentral:rRNA from 1 species